rnacentral:lncRNA from 1 species
CUGAAUUUCUACCCUCAUCUGGAGGAACAUUUAAUAUCUCUGUCAGUGGGGACAUUGAUGGUUUAAUUACUCAGGCUUUGCUGACGGGCAAUUUUGAGAGUGCUGUUGACCUUUGUUUACAUGAUAACCGCAUGGCCGAUGCCAUUAUAUUGGCCAUAGCAGGUGGACAAGAACUCUUGGCUCGAACCCAGAAAAAAUACUUCGCAAAAUCCCAAAGCAAAAUUACCAGGCUCAUCACUGCAGUGGUGAUGAAGAACUGGAAAGAGAUUGUUGAGUCUUGUGAUCUUAAAAAUUGGAGAGAGGCUUUAGCUGCAGUAUUGACUUAUGCAAAGCCGGAUGAAUUUUCAGCCCUUUGUGAUCUUUUGGGAACCAGGCUUGAAAAUGAAGGAGAUAGCCUCCUGCAGACUCAAGCAUGUCUCUGCUAUAUUUGUGCAGGGAAUGUAGAGAAAUUAGUUGCAUGUUGGACUAAAGCUCAAGAUGGAAGCCACCCUUUGUCACUUCAGGAUCUGAUUGAGAAAGUUGUCAUCCUGCGAAAAGCUGUGCAACUCACUCAAGCCAUGGACACUAGUACUGUAGGAGUUCUCUUGGCUGCGAAGAUGAGUCAGUAUGCCAAUUUGUUGGCAGCUCAGGGCAGUAUUGCUGCAGCCUUGGCUUUUCUUCCUGACAACACCAACCAGCCAAAUAUCAUGCAGCUUCGUGACAGACUUUGUAGAGCACAAGGAGAGCCUGUAGCAGGACAUGAAUCACCUAAAAUUCCGUACGAGAAACAGCAGCUCCCCAAGGGCAGGCCUGGACCAGUUGCUGGCCACCACCAGAUGCCAAGAGUUCAAACUCAACAAUAUUAUCCCCAUGGAGAAAAUCCUCCACCUCCGGGUUUCAUAAUGCAUGGAAAUGUUAAUCCAAAUGCUGCUGGUCAGCUUCCCACAUCUCCAGGUCAUAUGCACACCCAGGUACCACCUUAUCCACAGCCACAGCCUUAUCAACCAGCCCAGCCGUAUCCCUUCGGAACAGGGGGGUCAGCAAUGUAUCGACCUCAGCAGCCUGUUGCUCCUCCUACUUCAAACGCUUACCCUAACACCCCUUACAUAUCUUCUGCUUCUUCCUAUACUGGGCAGUCUCAGCUGUACGCAGCACAGCACCAGGCCUCUUCACCUACCUCCAGCCCUGCUACUUCUUUCCCUCCUCCCCCUUCCUCUGGAGCAUCCUUCCAGCAUGGCGGACCAGGAGCUCCACCAUCAUCUUCAGCUUAUGCACUGCCUCCUGGAACAACAGGUACACUGCCUGCUGCCAGUGAGCUGCCUGCGUCCCAAAGAACAGGUCCUCAGAAUGGUUGGAAUGACCCUCCAGCUUUGAACAGAGUACCCAAAAAGAAGAAGAUGCCUGAAAACUUCAUGCCUCCUGUUCCCAUCACAUCACCAAUCAUGAACCCGUUGGGUGACCCCCAGUCACAAAUGCUGCAGCAACAGCCUUCAGCUCCAGUACCACUGUCAAGCCAGUCUUCAUUCCCACAGCCACAUCUUCCAGGUGGCCAGCCCUUCCAUGGCGUACAGCAACCUCUUGGUCAAACAGGCAUGCCACCAUCUUUUUCAAAGCCCAAUAUUGAAGGUGCCCCAGGGGCUCCUAUUGGAAAUACCUUCCAGCAUGUGCAGUCUUUGCCAAC